AAUAAAGAAAAUCGCCCGCCCGCACGACCUCCUCCUUCUCCCGCACGACCUCCUUAUCCUCCCGCAGCCGCGCCCUUCACCGCCUCCUCGCGCCGCCGGAGCCACGGGAAGCGGCCGCGGGUCGCCGGGAGCCUCCCCAGCCGCGGGAGCCCGCCCCCGCCGACCCCGCCCCCGCCGCCGGAGCCGCCCCGCCGCGCCCUUCGCCGCCCCUCAUCCUCGGCGGCGAGAGGCACGCAGGAGCCGCCGCCAGGGACGUGGACGUGUGCGGGCCAACCACCGGCGUACGAGGCCGCGCCUGAGCCUGCGGCGCGGCGGCGCGGAGCCCUCCGCCGCCAGUUCCCUGCCGGUUCGAGAUCGCCACCGGUCCCCUCCGUGCCGUCAUCGUCCUUCCUGCUACCAGCUCCGUCCUCCGCCCUAUCUCCGCGGCAAUGUUCUGCUCCAUCCAUCGGCGCAAACAACCUAUAGAGUCAAGGAGUAGAAUACCAAAAUACGAGCUGCAAAAGUGACUCAAAUUCCUCUUCCCUCACAAGUAACUACACUGAGGUGGAGGCUGGCCUGCAGCUUGUGUGCGCGGAGGCUCGUGUGCGCGGAGGAGAAGCACACUUCACCGACAAGUUGUUCCCGCUAUCCUCGCUGCCACUGCCAGUGACGGAACUUGGUGUGGACAACAUGCUGGAAAGAGAGUGUUCAUCCCUAUGAUCCCUUUGGCGCCCUCGGAGGACAUUUCACUUCCUUUCAAGUUGAAGAGGAAACAGUUCCCUGGAUCGAUCCUGGAGAGCCCCUUCCGUAACCAAGUCCCCUCCCCACUCGGAGUCCUCCGCCACUGACGCACGGGUAAGCGCCAGAGAUGCGGUGCAUCCACGCGGUUCAACGAGCUGCCGCUGUCGUAGAUAACCAAGACGUACACGGAGAUAAGCAAGAUUCAGUGUGCUGCACUGCCCCCACGCGCUCUGAGGGUGCGAUGUCCCCGACGUGUCCAAGACAAGGUCCAGGAAGACCCUCGCCUUCGUUAUCCUGGUAAAGUUUUGCUGUUAUUUUACUCCCCCAACUCCACUUACAGGGGAACAAAGAGUAAGAGUAAUCCUGGGGAUAAUGGUAUUUUCAUUUGUGCUUCUAAUUAAUAGUAUUACUGUCAGCUCCAUCCUUAGAGCAAUUGACGAAAAUGACUAUAUCACCUAGAUUGAUAGACAAUAAUUAUGCACAAACAUGGCAAUGUCCACAAAACAACUGCCGCUGCAUUGCUAAGAUGCAGCUUGAUUUGGCCUCAAUAUUUUGAUUUUUGAGUAUUACUUUCUUCCACUCCUCUGCAAAAUACUCCUAUGUUCUAGCUUCUCAAGCCUCUACUCUCAACCAGUCCAGUUGUCCAGGUGUUUUUUUUUUGAUAAAUAUUGAUUUUGUUUCCUUUAUCUAUCGGUUUCAAUUCUGUAUCCGCCGUUCUCAGGAUAACUGUGUGAUGUUGCCAUGGGAUCCAAAAUAACUAUUUUUUACUGAAGCUACAGACUUAAGCAGUUUCUACCAUGUGUACUGUAUUUUGAGUUAAACCUGAACGGCUUUCGUCGCAUGAUACACCACAGUGCUUUCAUGUUUUUAGGAGGGUAGUUCUUCCCUGUGUUAUGAAUAUGAUUACUAUGGUGUCACUGUACAUUUCUUAUAUGGUUAGUUCUUAAUUUUCUUCAUUAUUCCAAACAUGUGUACCCACUAGGAUUUCAUCUUUUAUUAUUUACCUUCAAGCAGUAUAUAUUACUGUUGUUUGUUGUCCACCUUGAUCCUUCGCUGAUAUUUUUCCUAGGAAACUUCACAUGGAAUUAGGAUCAGUUAAUAAGAUUCUGGUAUAUUCUCAAUUUUUCUUGCUUUAUGCAUGAACCUAUCAUCAAGAUUUGGAUCUCUUAUAUGUGCCUUUGCUGCUGUAGAUUUGUUAGUGUUGAUUUGCAGUAAGAGGAAAUGUACUAUUGUUCUCAUCAAUUUCUUUCAUACCAUGUGUAUGGUUAGUUCUUAAUAUUCUUCAUUAUUCAAAAUACUUGUACCCACUAGGAUUCAUUUAUUAUUUUUUACCGUCAAGCACUAUAUAUAUUACUGUUGUUUGUUGUAUACCUUGAUCCUUCGCUGAUGUUUUUCCUAGGCAACUUCACAUGGAAUUAGGAUCACUUAAUAAGAUUCUGGUAUAUUCUGCAAAUUUUCUUGCUUUAUGCAUGAACCUAUCAUCAAGAAUUGGAUCUCUUAUAUGUGCAUGUGCUGCUGUAUAUUGGUUGGGUGUUGAUUUGCAGUAAGAGGAAAUGUACUAUUGUUCUCAUCAAUUUCUUUCAUAUCAUCUUAUAAAAAUAUGUUGUUUAAAUAUGAAGAGGUGGAUAAGUUUUUGGCUUUAGUUACUGAAUAUCCAGAUCCGGCUUGCUUCUCAGCUAUGGCCUACAUUUAGAAGAAAUAUGUUGUUUAAAUAUGAAGAGGUGGAUAAGUUUCUGGCUUUAGUUACUGAAUACCCGGAUCCUGCUUGCUUCUCAGCCAUGGCUUACAUUUAGAGAAGACAUGUUCAUAUGUAAGAGAUUUAAGGUCAAUGAUCUCCCCCUAUUGUAAUGCUCAUCAUCUUAAUUCAGACAUUGCUAUAUAUAUGCACCAUGGUUCAUGACUGUACUUUUUUCUUACGUGUUUACGAAGUUUGUCAGUAUUAUUAUGCAGAGAUAACCUGUCAUGGUUCUAUGUUGAUGUGUUCUUUCAUUUGUCAAUUUCUUUUGCUUUGAAGCAAUGUUGAUUGCCUCAAAGAAUGGUUCCGCGUGGCUUACACGCUUAUACCUACUUGAAUGUUAAAUUUUAUUAGCAAAUUCAUCGAGAACAAUGCCAACAUUUUACGUCUUGCUACAUGAAGCUAUGUACUGCAGGGUACAACAGUGUCAACAUUUCCGGUGCUCAUUGACAAUAAGAUUGAAGAUGUAUUUUCUUGAUUGGAAAUAUUAUACCUCAAAUUUAAUUCAAUCGUGGAUACAAUGACAACUUUAUGCCCUGAAUAACAAGUGAUUAUGUGAGUGUAGGAAUUAGGACUGGUGACAACAACAUGUGGAGUGGCACAACAAGUGGUGUUGUGGAGUACCGAAGCAAGGGUAGUCAGGUAAAUCCAACGGCGUGCACGUUUCGAUCGCCGACUGCGAUCGCCCUAUUUGGACAAGGGGCACAUUGGUUCAUAAAACAAUCAACACGUCUUUAUGAUUUAAAUUUGAAUUAUGAUAGAAAUAUUUCUGUUUCAUAAUUGAGACGUGUGUUACACGUACAUGCUUACUAGUAACUGAACUGGAACUGAACAAUUUGGAUACAUGACUAAUUCUAGGCUUGCAUUGUUUUUCUCGAAUACGCACGAGUGUGCGUACUAUAUUAUAAAGAAGGAAAUGGGGUAAAGAGCCCGUCCAUGUUAGUGUUCCAG